rnacentral:rRNA from 1 species
UACGGGGGGGGCAAGCGUUGUUCGGAAUUACUGGGCGUAAAGGGCUCGUAGGCGGCCAACUAAGUCGGAUGUGAAAUCCCCAGGCUUAACCUGGGAACUGCAUCCGAUACUGGAUGGCUUGAAUUCGGGAGAGGGAUGCAGAAUUCCAGGUGUAGCGGUGAAAUGCUUAGAUAUCGUCAAGAACACCGAUAGCGAAGGCAGCUUACUAGGCUGUAACUGACGCUGAGGCACGAAAGUGUGGGGAUCAAACAGG